AAAUAGUGUAGACCCUCAAUGUAACCGAGGAGUUAAUUAUCCAUCGUAAUCACCCACUACUGAUAAAAUCUUCAUUCACCCAAGCAUAACUGAGGUUUUCAACUGAAUAUGAACCCACAGGUUGUAACUACAGACAUCACAGCACGUUUGGCUGUUCCGUGAACAUAGUAAGCAGAAGAACUUUAACUGCUCCCUCCCUCUCUUACCUGUAGAUACAUAUGCUAAUACAAGAAAAAAAGAAAUCAAGAAAUAACA
rnacentral:misc_RNA from 1 species